UCAGACAUUGUGUAGUGUCAACACAGCUUCUUCAAAUGAGCCUCCGUCGUUAGAUUCAUUUGCGAGGCAGUCCUGGGUUCGAAUCCCAGUGUCUGAA